GCCAUCAUAAAAUAUUUGAAAGAGCACAUUUCAACCCCCUAAACAACAGGAUCGCAUCCAGGUUACAGUAUUGAAAUUAGAAUCCACCACUAAUAUUACACAGCAUUUCUUACCAAAUCAGAUCAUCUUCGAUAAGAGGAAUCACUGUCAACUAUUCCAGCUUUCACCAACCUCAUCAACUUUCCUGAACACUCCUCGACCACUGGAUCCUCAACUCUGUCUCCUCGCCUAGCAUUAGCCUUAUCCACAAUCUCAAUCAAUCAUCUCAACUUUAAGCCUUUCUGAAAUGGUUAGAAAGGAAUAGCAAGGGUGAGCAACAAUGCUCAGCAAGUAAUAAUAAACAAUGAUAGUUCUGAAAUGAUAUAACAGAAGUUCGCGAGUUCAAGAUAUAAGAGGAUUCAACCUGAGUUCAUGAGUUCAUGGUAUUGUAUAGAAGGAUUUACAAUACCUUGCAACAUUUAAACUGAGAAAUUCAAUCUUUCCAAAGAAUUAUUGAAUUGGACUAUCACAUUUUAAUUAAAACCAAGGUUAGGCAGCUGAUCAGUUCCGCACUAACCCCGAGCAGGCCCCGCCAUGCUCUAUCACUGGAUCCAAGGCACUCAUUGGCCUAACAUGACCACGAAUCUGGUCCACAGGUUUAUAUAAAAACAAUAAUCCAAUUCUAUAAUUCAAUAACAGGUCAACGUAUAACAACAAAACAUAAACACAAUCAAUAUCAAUGAUAGAAUAAUUCCAAAUNNNNNNNNNNNNNNNNNNNNNNNNNNNNNNNNNNNNNNNNNNNNNNNNNNNNNNNNNNNNNNNNNNNNNNNNNNNNNNNNNNNNNNNNNNNNNNNNNNNNNNNNNNNNNNNNNNNNNNNNNNNNNNNNNNNNNNNNNNNNNNNNNNNNGCUCGAAACUAUUUUUCAGUAAUUUUUAAAUCAAAAAAAAUAAUUAAAUCCAAUUAAUUAAUCAAUUAAAAUCAAUUAAUAAUUAAUUAAAAUAAUUAAUCAAUUAAUAUUUAAAUUAAUUGACCAAUUAAAAUAAUUAAUUACUAAUUAAAAUUAAUUAAUAAACUAAUUUAGAUUUAUUUUUGAAUAAAGAAAUAAUUAAAAAUUAUUUUUGGAAUUUAAAAUAAUUAAAUAAAACAAUUUUAGAAAAUUAAAUCAAAAGGUUUAUUUUGUAAACUUUUGAAAGUUUUUGUCCAGGGUUUAAAGUGUAACUUUCCAAAAGUUCCAGGGGGUAAUUUGUAAUUUUCAAAACUCGAGUACAAUGACUUCAUCAUCUUCAUAAGUUGGGUGACCAAACGGCACGUUGUCGCCGUUGGCACCCCUGACUCGCCGGAAUCGGCUAAACAGGCCUCGGGCGGCCACCAAACUACGCAUAACUCGACUACCGAUCACCAGGAACCUACACACUUGAUCAGAAUCACCAAUCGUCGCAAAGAAUGGCCGGAAAAUCGAAGCAAAAACCCGCCGGCGAGUUUCUUUCGAAACUCCGGUGACCCCUUUCCGGGAAUCCCACAUAACUUUUGAACAUACCCACAAGUUCCUCUCUUCACGCUCUAUCCAACCAUAUCAACCGAUUGCUCAUGUGAUUAACAGAUAAGAAACGCCCAAAUCUCAAUUGAAAAUAUUCAUAACCCACGAAGAACACUCAAGAACACCUACUCAAGAAUUAAACCACUGUUUCUAUAUGAUUCCGAACUCAAAAUUCAACAUAUAAUAUACCAAAACGACGAGAAAAACAUGCUCUACAACAUGGAAUCAUCAAAACAAUCAAACAAACACGUUUGCAAAAAUUCACUAUUUAAAUCAUAAUAAUUCGAAUUUUAAAACUUCAAUUACUCCCUACCUGUGAAUCUCAUGUUGUUUUUGAUGAUUGAUUUGGGUUCUACUCUUCGAUAUCUUCGAUUUGACUAUUCGCACGCUUGAUUCUGACUCCAAUAACACCUUCAAAUCUUCGUUUGAUUAUGAAGAACACGAAGAACACCGCUCGGUUUCUCUCGGUAUUCGUGCAGAGAAACUGGUGAAAUGAUUUUACGGGUGAAAAUAAGCUCUAGAAAGGUCUAUUUAUAUUUACAAAUAAUUGGUACCCCUUUGGAUCGUUUAUGACAUGAAAAUACGUAUUUAAUAGCUUUAUAUUAAUAAAGCGGGGUCCAAUCGGUACUGGUUUUCGAGAUAAUCAUCAAAACGGGGCUUUUUAACUCAAUUAUUGGUCUGCGGGUCCCAUUGCAAUUAUUACAAGAUAAGGAUGAAUAUAAUAAUCAAAAUAUCUCGUUUCACGCUUAUCGAGACAAACUGGAUAAUUAUCAACAAUUAAAAUACCCGAAAAACUCCGCCGGACCGACUCCGGGGAAAACCGUACUCCGGAUCGAAAAAGUCAAAACACGAAAAGUGUCCGGAAUAUUCAAAUUAGGCUAAAGGUCAGUUUUGUUGAAACUUCCGGGAAGAAAAUUUGCUACCUCGUUACGAGUGGACGGUUUUACGGAAGUCAAAUAAUUAAUAAAUAAAUAUAAAUAUACGCAAUUAAAUCCGUAAAUCGAUUAUAAAAUCAUCUAACAUUCCAUAAAUCGAUAUGAAAAUAUCCAAAUAAACUAUAUUUUCUCCUGAGCAUAUAGAAAUUGAAAUCUCUCAAAUACGAACACAUAUGAGCAGUUAACGCAAUAAACCAGAUAAUAUAAAAUUCACAAAAAUUCAUAUAUUAAUCAUAUAAUACUCAUAAUUAACCAUAAUUAAUUAACCAACAAAUCCACCAAUACCACUUACUCACAUCACACAUAUAUUCACAUAAUAUUCAUACAGAAUUUUCGAAACAAUAUAUGAAAAUCACUUUUGAAAAUACAAUUAUUUAUCAAUAACACAAUAACCCGGGGUUUAAAUAUAAAACCUUGAAAACUCCUUAAACUGGAAUAAAAUAUUAAAUCUUAUUCCUUACUUUUUAAGAAAAUCAUUUAUAAUAUUAAUAAAGAUAUUUUUAAAAUCCGGGUUAUUACAAUCUACCCUCCUUAUAGGGAUUCCGUCCUCGGAAUCAGAGAAAGAAGGAGGACGCAAUAUUUGUAAAAUCCAUAUUAAUCCACAAAACAAGUAUAAUCAUAUAAAACUAUUCACAUAAUCAAUUCACUUUUCAACUAAAGCCAACAAUAAUAUUUAGACAGAUAGAUUUAUAACAAUCAAAUCUAAAUUUAAAAAUAUGGGAUAUUACAUUCUACCCCCCUUAUAAGGAUUCCGUCCUCGGAAUCCUCCGAAGAAACUAAAACGUAUCAUUUAUAAGAUCGUGGUACACGCUUCAUAAUAUCACAUGCUCAUCCGCCUUUAAUUAACUUUGGCAUACCUUCAAAGUUAAAGAAAUAGGAAAAUCAAAGCCUUCACAAUUGCAAACUUCAUUUCCCAAGAAUCAAUCUUUGGGAAUUUCGGAGGAACAAGAUGUUUUCAAAAUAGGUCACAUUGGAAUACAAGAGUGACUGGGAGAUCAAUACGAUCAAAUGAACUUAAUGUUGCGUGUCCAUAUUAGACACUACUAAAGGUUGUUAACCUUCUUGUAAUCACAACACACACAAGUGAUGGCGUCCCAUCCAACUCCUAUCACACAGACAGGUAUACCUUGUGUCCCCUAUAAAUAGGGUUGUUCAUCCCAAUCAAAUUGAAGAAAUGUUAAGGAAUAUCAGAGAAUAUCAAUGAAUAUCAACAAUAUCAAAGAACACUAAGGGAUAUCAAGGUAGAUGAAAGGGUAUCAAGGAAUGUCAAGAAAUGUCAAACAAUAUCAAGGAACAUCACUAUCUCUUUACAACAAACCUUUAUCACACAUCUUUGCUUUCCAACUCAUACCAAUAAUCAAUACCAAUGUCAUCUUAGAAUUUGAGAAAUUGAAGAUCUCAUUUAUCAAAACUUUUGUAGAAAAGAUAUCAUGAUAAUAUCUCACUGAUGAGAAAACAAUCAAAAGAACCUUUAGUUGAAGAGAGGUAUUGCCAAGGUCUUCUCAAAUUCCCACUCUACUUUACGAAAUCGUUAUUCGAUUUAUGUCAUCCUUUCAACGUUCUCGAUAAUCAAUCGAUUUAACUCGUAAUAGCCUCAUAAGAUGUCAUCGUAGACGUUAUCGUUCGUAAUAAGUCUGACCCAAGUAGUUCACGUUCUCAUGCUUCAUCCAGUUGCCUUUGAAGUCCAUAACACCACACGUAGCAUAUCUUCGAUUUUCUGGAUCGUCGCCCUGUGGGUUAUGGGCCCACCUUGUCCCGCUUAACUUAAAACGUCGUCGUGAGAAUUCACAUUCUAAAUUACUCGCAAAUAUCGCUUCUAAUAACCUGAAUCAACUUCACUUACUCUCUAUCAUACACUUCUCAUCUAUCAACCUCUAUAUACAAGUCUCUCCUUCUAAUUCUGUGCAACUCAUAUCUUACACUAACUCUUCAUAUCUCACAAAAACAACAUACCUCUUCCAAAUAUCUAACAUGGUCAACAUACUAUGAACCAUGCAUCUUUAUCCUUCUCAAAUCAAUACCAUAGACCAUUUUCAACUAUGCAGUAUAGUCAGAAUACUCUGAACUCUGCAUUUUCACCAUUCUCAACUCAGUCAUUCACUAUCAACUUUUCUAUCUGGGUCUAAUCUUGACCUUUCUCACAAUUCAUCAUCUCAAUUAGUCAACAUACCAAAAAUCAUAUGUCUAACUUAGGAAUCAAAAUCUCUCCAAACUUAUGCACUCAACUUAAUCAUCUAACUAGAUUCUAUUUCUCUAUCACAUCCCUAGACUAUUUCUAAAUAGUCUCACAAUACCUCUAUCCGAGGUCACCCAACAUUCUUCUCUAGAAAACCUAUAACUAUGAUCUAUAUUCUAAUUUCAAAUACUUAUAACCUGUUGCUCUGAUACCAACUGUGACAGUCCAGGAAUCCGGGGGUCUGGAUUCUGACGUCACCACAUAAAACCCAUUUUUAAACACUUUUGAAAUCCUGUAUUUUUUUUUUUUAAAGAUAAUGAAUCCAAAUAAUUUAAAACUUGAAAACAUUUAAUAAAAGAUUUGAAAGACGUUAAAUAAAAGAUUUAAAAGAGAACAUCUUCACCCCCAAAACAACAGGAUCGCUUCCAGGUUACAGUAUUGAAAUUAGAAUCAACCACUAUUAUUACACAACAUCUCUUACCAAAUCAGAUCAUCUUCGAUAAGAAGAAUCACUGUCAACUAUUCCAGCUAUGACUUACACUUGAAUCUCUAUAGCACAGCUCUAGCUUGCACCAACCUCAUCAACUUUCCUGAACACUCCUCGACCACUGGAUCCUCAACUCUGUCUCCUCGCCUAGCAUUAGCCUUAUUCACAAUCUCAAUCAAUCAUCUCAUCUUUAAGCCUUUCUGAAAUGGUUAGAAAGGAAUAGCAAGGGUGAGCAACAAUGCUCAGCAAGUAAUAAUAAACAAUGAUAGUUCUGAAAUGAUAUAAUAGAAGUUCACGAGUUCAAGAUAUAAGAGGAUUCAACCUGAGUUCAUGAGUUCAUGGUAUUGUAUAGAAUGAUUUACAAUACCUUGCAGCAUUUAAACUGAGAAAUUCAAUCUUUCCAAAGAAUUAUUGAAUUG
rnacentral:lncRNA from 1 species